GUAGGUGGCAAGCGUUGUCCGGGAAUUAUUGGGCGUAAAGCGCGCGCAGGUGGAUCUUUAAGUCUGAUGUGAAAGCCCCCGGGCUCAACCGGGGAGGGUCAUUGGAAACUGGGGAACUUGAGUGCAGGAGAGGAAAGUGGAAUUCCACGUGUAGCGGUGAAAUGCGUAGAUAUGUGGAGGAACACCAGUGGCGAAGGCGACUUUCUGGCCUGUAACUGACACUGAGGCGCGAAAGCGUGGGGAGCAAACAGGAUUAGAUACCCUGGUAGUCCACGCCGUAAACGAUGAGUGCUAAGUGUUGGGGGGUUUCCGCCCCUCAGUGCUGCAGCUAACGCAUUAAGCACUCCGCCUGGGGAGUACGGUCGCAAAGACUG
rnacentral:rRNA from 1 species